UUCAAUAUUAAUUUCCUUUCAUCUUUUCUAGUGCGUUGAUUUGUUUGAAAAAUGCUCCAGGCAUACCAGCAAAGAACUUUCAUGCUUUAACUAAGUUAGAUGAAAACCAAGCAAAAUGCCAGGUAUGAUAAAGUAUCUAAUGUUACCAUCUGGGGAAAUCACUCAACCACUCAGGUUCCUGAUUCUCUAAAUGCUAAAAUAAAUGGAUUGCCUGUAAAAGAGGUUAUUAAAGAGAUACUAAGUGGCUUGAGGAAUAGUUUACAGAAAA